rnacentral:rRNA from 1 species
UACAGAGGGUGCAAGCGUUGUUCGGAAUUACUGGGCGUAAAGCGCGUGUAGGCUGCGAUGUAAGUCAGGUGUGAAAGCCCUCAGCUUAACUGAGGAAGUGCACUUGAUACUGUGUCGCUUGAGUGUCGGAGGGGGUGGCGGAAUUCCCGGUGUAGAGGUGAAAUUCGUAGAUAUCGGGAGGAACACCUGUGGCGAAGGCGGCCACCUGGACGACAACUGACGCUGAGACGCGAAAGCGUGGGGAGCAAACAGG